AAGAAACCACCACGCCACAUGAUGUAUUCUGAUGCAAAUUAAGGGCUGGCUCCUCAAGAUAUCCUAAGCUACUAUAAAGCCCUGCUGUCUGAAGACAUAAAACUAUCUUAAUCGACACACUCCUAUUAAAGGGGAUGUCCACAGGCCAAUGACUGUGAACCUGAACCUUGCCAAAACCCAGGUAUGUUUGAAACAUCUGAUUCACCUGUUUGAAAACCCCAUAUAACCAAGUGUGUUUAAUAAAUUUAGUGAAGUAUCUUUGCACUGAGGGAAGGCAGGAUUUAUUUUCUUCCACUAACGAUUCUGGAUGAAUACAUGCAAUUCCCAACACCAAUUUAGCUCUUUGCAGUCACAUCACUAGUCCAAAAAUUAACCUCAAAACAACAGAUUUUCCUCUCUUUCAUAAACAUGAAAAAUAAACAUUAGGAGAACAAAUGCUUUUUUUUUUUUAAUCUCAGAUAAAUUAGAUUAAGUCCAUUUCUUACUUUCAUUGCAGCACCCGAGCUGCAAAGUGGUGUAUGGACAAAGUGAUGUGGAGUACUGCCAUUUCAGUCAAUAUGCAGAAAGAGCGUGUGGCUGGUACUAGUAGCAGAUGAACCUGUUCAUUCAUGCUGAAUGUCUACAGGACAGGACUCCCAAGGCAUGUGGAUACAAGUGUUGUUAACCUCUGGAGAGCCAAAACUGAAGGAGAAUACAGUCUGCACCAGGCCUGCAAGUGAGGCCAUGGCACCACUGCCUCGGGAAUCACAGAACUGUGGGGAUAGCCUGAGUUGGAAGGGAUCAACAAAGAUCAUCAAGACCAACUCCA